rnacentral:rRNA from 1 species
UGGCCUACGGGAGGCAGCAGUGAGGAAUAUUGGUCAAUGGGAGGAAUCCUGAACCAGCCAUGCCGCGUGUAGGACGACGGCUCUACGAGUUGUAAACUGCUUUUGUACGAGGGUAAACCCCGAUACGUGUAUCGGGUUGAAAGUAUCGUACGAAUAAGGAUCGGCUAACUCCGUGCCAGCAGCCGCGGUAAUACGGAGGAUCCGAGCGUUAUCCGGAUUUAUUGGGUUUAAAGGGUGCGUAGGCGGUUUGAUAAGUUAGAGGUGAAAUGUCGGGGCUCAACCCCGAAACUGCCUCUAAUACUGUU